UAGCAAUACGGCAGCGGCAGACGGGAGAGUAACACGUGGGAACGCGCCCUUCGGUUCGGAAUAACUCAGGGAAACUUGGGCUAAUACCGAAUACGCCCUUACGGGGAAAGAUUUAUUGCCGAAGGAACGGCCCGCGUCCGAUUAGCUUGUUGGUGAGGUAACGGCUCACCAAGGCGACGAUCGGUAGCUGGUCUGAGAGGAUGACCAGCCUCACUGGGACUGAGACACGGCCCAGACCCCUACGGGAGGCAGCAGUGGGGAAUAUUGGACAAUGGGCGCAAGCCUGAUCCAGCCAUGCCGCGUGAGUGAUGAAGGCCUUAGGG
rnacentral:rRNA from 1 species